ensembl:lncRNA
AUGUUUGUAAUAUAUGUUUUAUGUCCAACACAGAUGGACAUCUGUAUUUCACAGAAAAGGAGUCCAACUGGCUAGUAGUUCUGGAUAAGAAUCAACAGGAAAGAGUCUUGCUAGAGUGUCAUGAUUACCCAGGGACAGGUGGACAUCAAGACUGAUCAAGAACUUAAGACUAAAUUGUCCUUUCCUACUGGCUAGGCAUCAUGGAGGACGUCAAAACUGGGUCAGUGAGGACAUGUUCAGCAUCUUGAGCGUGAAGCAGUGCGUGACGUCAGUCUACCAGUCAAAUGGACAGCAUGAGAGGACCAACCCAACCAUCAAGAGGGCUUUGUCCAAGUACUGCAAUGACAAGCAGAAUGACUGGGACAAACAUCUGAACGGCCAAGUACCCACCAUACUUUCUGAAGUUUAAUGGCAGAGAUUCUCAACACAAAGCACGAAUCCGGAGGUAGACAGAGACGCUCGGAUUGCUGAGGUGAUAGCAAUGCGUGCAAAGGUAGUUUUUAGUUAAAAAUUUAAUCGCAUUAUCAAUUAUAAGUUGUUUUGUUUACGGAACCAUCAACAGGGCAUCUCGUGUGCUGCGCUAAUCACUCCGCCCAAGUAGCCACUCCGCCCAAGUAACAUUAGCUGUGCUCCUACGCCUAGUGAGAAUAUAGUUCCCAGUAUUUAUACGAUUAAAAAUGGUCUCUGUCUCAUAUAGCCUUGUUAUUUGUACACACUGUGACUAUACAGAUCACAACAUGUAAAUAGGAAAAUGUUUGCCUUAUUUUGUCACUUAUUGGGAUUACUAUGCUACCAUUAUCCAUUUACAUCCAGUCUUUGUGCUAAGCUAGGCUAGCGGUGGUGCGUCAAAUAACACUUACAGAACGCACAGAAAUGAAAAAGGUAUGUAUGGACUUAUCUAACUCUGGGGGAUACUGUGAAUAAGCUAAAGUCCCAAAAAGUCGGAGUGUUCCUUUAAUAAUGACUGGAUGAAAAAUGACAAUUACUCCACAUGGCUAAAGCAAACACCAGGCGAUCCACUAUAUGCUAAUGACUGGAUG